rnacentral:tRNA from 4 species
GCGGAUGUGGCUCAGUUGGUAGAGCAUCACCUUGCCAAGGUGAGGGUCGCGGGUUCGAGUCCCGUCAUCCGCUCGA